rnacentral:rRNA from 1 species
GACGAACGCUGGCGGCGUGCUUAACACAUGCAAGUCGAACGGAAAGGCCCUGCUUUUGUGGGGUGCUCGAGUGGCGAACGGGUGAGUAACACGUGAGUAACCUGCCCUUGACUUUGGGAUAACUUCAGGAAACUGGGGCUAAUACCGGAUAGGAGCUCCUGCUGCAUGGUGGGGGUUGGAAAGUUUCGGCGGUUGGGGAUGGACUCGCGGCUUAUCAGCUUGUUGGUGGGGUAGUGGCUUACCAAGGCUUUGACGGGUAGCCGGCCUGAGAGGGUGACCGGCCACAUUGGGCCUGAGAUACGGCCCAGACUCCUACGGGAGGCAGCGGUGGGGAAUAUUGCACAAUGGGCGGAAGCAUGAUGUAGCAACGCCGCGUGCGGGAUGACGGCCUUCGGGUUGUAAACCGCUUUCGCCUGUGACGAAGCGUGAGUGACGGUAAUGGGUAAAGAAGCACCGGCUAACUACGUG